AAGUCAGCGCACUCUGUCACAUUCAUAUGUAAGGUUACAUACUAAGCACAUGUAACAAUGUUUUUAAUGUUGGCAACUAUGUUUGGCAACAGGCCAUAUGGACAAAUAACGUGAAUGUGAGCCAAUUAUGACACAAUAAUGUUUGAUUAUCGUAUCAAACAAUGCAAUGUCAAUAAACUACAAUUUAUGCAUUGCAUAACUGUUAUACAGCAUCACUUAAUUAUUCUACGCUAUAUUAUCACAUAUUGUCAUAAAUAACCUAUAUUCAAGGAACUCUGGAAAUUUGAAAGGUUUGAUUGUAAAUAUUUUCUAAAGAGGGCGCAUUGAUGAACAAGGGUGUAUCAUUUUUAAUACAAUAACAAAAGAAUACUUUCUUUUGUAAUUCUAUCAUUAUAUAAACGAUGUAUAUAACUUUUUAAAAUAUCUAUUAGAAAAUUUCAUAGAAAUAACAGAAUUACAUAUCAAUAAAAAGUUUUUAAUGUUAUUAAAUGCAAAGAUGAAUAAAAUAUGGAAAAACUUUGAAUAAAAUUAAAUUCGUUAUAAAUUUAUCAUAAAUUAUAAUAUUAAAAGUUGAAAAUAUUCAAAAUAUAUGCUUCUAAUAUUAAUAAUUAUUCGAAUAUUGAAUUAUUUAGUAACCCAUAACUUGCAUUUAUUUAGUAACCCAUUCCCUUUGCAUUUAAUCCCAUCAAUUACAUAAGAGAGAUGUGACCGAAAGCGCUACUUAAGAAGUGCUUGUCAACCAUAGGGUCAAAGGUAUUUCUAUGAAGCCCUCGAGGUUGAAGCAUUUACACCUCGCUAUCGCAAUAUUGUGAUAUAUCAUUUUGUAAUAACGAAAACGUAACAUGAAUUACAUAGCACAACAAUUAAACAGCUUUGCUUAAAAAAAACUUGUGUUCUUUCUUUCUUUUUUUUUUACAAUUUCUUUUUGUACAUUGUGCCUUAA